rnacentral:rRNA from 1 species
AGAGAUGGAUUUCUUCAGUUCGGCUGGAUGAGUGACAGGUGCUGCAUGGCUGUCGUCAGCUCGUGUCGUGAGAUGUUGGGUUAAGUCCCGCAACGAGCGCAACCCUCGCCUUUAGUUGCCAUCAUUUAGUUGGGUACUCUAAAGGAACCGCCGGUGAUAAGCCGGAGGAAGGUGGGGAUGACGUCAAGUCCUCAUGGCCCUUACGCGUUGGGCUACACACGUGCUACAAUGGCGACUACAGUGGGCAGCGACCAUGCGAGUGGAAGCUAAUCUCCAAAAGUCGUCUCAGUUCGGAUUGUUCUCUGCAACUCGAGAGCAUGAAGGCGGAAUCGCUAGUAAUCGCGGAUCAGCAUGCCGCGGUGAAUACGUUCCCAGGCCUUGUACACACCGCCCGUCACACCAUGGGAGUUGGUUUCACCCGAAGGCAGUGCGCUAACCGCAAGGAGGCAGCUGACCACGGUGGGAUCAGCGACUGGGGUGAAGUCGUAACAAGGUAGCCGUAGGGGAACCUGCGGCUGGAUCACCUCUUUAAGGUAAAUCCCGGGAAUCGAAUCCUUUGUGUGCAU